rnacentral:rRNA from 1 species
AGAUUGAACGCUGGCGGCAGGCUUAACACAUGCAAGUCGAGCGGGGAAAUGUAGCUUGCUACAUUACCUAGCGGCGGACGGUGAGUAAUGCUUAGGAAUCUGCCUAUUAGUGGGGGACAACAUUUCGAAAGGAAUGCUAAUACCGCAUACGCCCUACGGGGGAAAGCAGGGGAUCUUCGGACCUUGCGCUAAUAGAUGAGCCUAAGUCGGAUUAGCUA